GUACACGCUGUGACUAGCAUAUCAAUAAGCGGAGGAAAAGAAACUAACAAGGAUUCCCCUAGUAACGGCGAGUGAAGCGGGAAGAGCUCAAAUUUGAAAUCUUAAAGGGUUUCCCUUUACGAAUUGUAGUUUAAAGAAGUGUUUUCUGUUGAGGUUUUGGUAAAAGUUCUUUGGAAUAGGACAUCAUAGAGGGUGAGAAUCCCGUAUUUGACCUUUACUUUCAACUUUGUGAUACACUUUCAAAGAGUCGGAUUGUUUGGGAAUGCAGUCCAAAAUGGGUGGUAAAUUUCAUCUAAAGCUAAAUAUUGGCGAGAGACCGAUAGCGAACAAGUACCGUGAGGGAAAGAUGAAAAGAACUUUGAAAAGAGAGUUAAACAGUACGUGAAAUUGUCAAAAGGGAAGCGUUUGACACCAGUGUUGUUUUUCUGAAAAUCAAUUAAAGAACUGUUUAGUGCUAAGUUGUUUAGACUUUAUCAGCUAUCUGUUUAGUUUUGAGCUUUUCUUUAAUGCACUUUUCAGUUAACAAGUCAACAGUCAAUUUCUUUUGCUGUAAAAAAGCUUGAGGAAGGUGGCUUGAGAUUCGUCUUAAGUGUUUAUAGCCUCUUGCCUAUGCAGUCGGAGAGAUUGAGGUCUGCAGCGUAGAUCCUUCGGGGCUAAAUGCAUUUGUGCUAAGUUAUAGCAUUUUAUAGACAACUUGUUGACUAUGAUUCGUCUUGUAGCUUACUCGCUUAUGUUAUUUUACCUACGCUUAGGAUGUUGAAGAUGUAGCACAUCA
rnacentral:rRNA from 1 species